rnacentral:rRNA from 1 species
AAUGAACGUUGGCGGCGUGGAUUAGGCAUGCAAGUCGCGCGAUAAAGUAGCAAUACUUGGACAGCGGCGAAAGGGAGAGUAAUACAUAGGUACGUACCCUUGGGACGUGGGAGUAGCGGCGGGAAACGUAGCCGGGUAAUACCAGAUGACGUUUCCGUAACCAAAGGUAGUGAAUCCGCCUGAGGAGCGGCCUAUGUCCUAUUAGCUUGUUGGUGGGAACGG